GACGAACCGUGCGAACGUUGUUCGGAUUCACUGGGCUUAAAGGGCGCGUAGGCGGGCAAUCAAGUCAGGGGUGAAAGCCUCCAGCUUAACUGGAGAAGUGCCUCUGAUACUGGUCGUCUUGAGGGAGGUAGGGGCAUGUGGAACUUCCGGUGGAGCGGUGAAAUGCGUAGAUAUCGGGAGGAACACCAGUGGCGAAGGCGAUCACCUGGGGUUGUUCUGACGCUGAGGAGCGAAAGCUAGGGGAGCAAACGGG
rnacentral:rRNA from 1 species